rnacentral:rRNA from 1 species
UACGUAGGGGGCAAGCGUUGUCCGGAAUCAUUGGGCGUAAAGAGCGUGUAGGCGGCUAGAUAAGUCCGCUCUGAAAGCCCGGGGCUCAACCCCGGGAGGCGGGCGGAAACUGUCGGGCUAGAGUCCGGAAGAGGCGAGUGGAAUUCCCGGUGUAGCGGUGAAAUGCGCAGAUAUCGGGAGGAACACCAAUGGCGAAGGCAGCUCGCUGGGACGUGACUGACGCUGAGACGCGAAAGCGUGGGGAGCAAACAGG